rnacentral:rRNA from 1 species
UACGAAGGGGGCUAGCGUUGCUCGGAAUCACUGGGCGUAAAGGGUGCGUAGGCGGGUCUUUAAGUCAGGGGUGAAAUCCUGGAGCUCAACUCCAGAACUGCCUUUGAUACUGAAGAUCUUGAGUUCGGGAGAGGUGAGUGGAACUGCGAGUGUAGAGGUGAAAUUCGUAGAUAUUCGCAAGAACACCAGUGGCGAAGGCGGCUCACUGGCCCAUUACUGACGCUGAGGCACGAAAGCGUGGGGAGCGAACCGG